rfam:Schistosoma mansoni strain Puerto Rico chromosome 3, complete genome
AUCCAGCUGACGAGUCACCAAUAGGACAAAAUGCGCCUCCUGGAU